rnacentral:rRNA from 1 species
UAGGGAAUCUUCGGCAAUGGACGAAAGUCUGACCGAGCAACGCCGCGUGAGUGAAGAAGGUUUUCGGAUCGUAAAACUCUGUUGUUAGAGAAGAACAAGGACGUUAGUAACUGAACGUCCCCUGACGGUAUCUAACCAGAAAGCCACGGCUAACUACGUGCCAGCAGCCGCGGUAAUACGUAGGUGGCAAGCGUUGUCCGGAUUUAUUGGGCGUAAAGCGAGCGCAGGCGGUUUCUUAAGUCUGAUGUGAAAGCCCCCGGCUCAACCGGGGAGGGUCAUUGGAAACUGGGGGACUGGAGUGCAGAAGAGGAGAGUGGAAUUCCAUGUGUAGCUGUGAAAUGCGUAGAUAUAUGGAGGAAAACCAGUGGCGAGGGCGGCUCUCUGGUCUGUAACUGACGCUGAGGCUCGAAAGCGUGGGGGGCAAACAGG